CACAAGAAGAGGCAAUCAUCAGUAGUAGCCUCUGCUCUCGAUCUUGGUGGAGUCAAGAUUUCAAAAGAUGAAAUAGUAAGGGAUGACCCCACAAACAAUAUUCCAGAUACAAUAUUUGCAAAGCUUGGAAUGCAGCUUCAUAGGAGGAACCAACAUCCACUUGGUAUCCUUAAGAAUGCGAUCUAUGAUUAUUUUGACACAAACUAUCCAGAUAAGUUUGACAAGUUUGAUGAUUUGUGCCCAAUAGUUUCUGUUAGACAGAACUUUGAUGAAGUUUUGGUACCUGCUGAUCACAUUAGCAGGAGUUACAAUGACACAUAUUAUGUGGAUUCUCAAACUGUCCUAAGGUGCCACACAAGUGCACAUCAAGCUGAGCUACUGAGGAAUGGACACACCCAUUUUCUUGUUACUGGCGAUGUGUACCGUAGAGAUUCCAUUGACUCAACUCACUAUCCUGUAUUCCAUCAGAUGGAGGGUGUACGGGUCUUUGCUCCAAAUGAUUGGGAGGGUUCAGGUACUGAUGCAACGUCACAUGCUGCGGAAGAUCUUAAGAAAUGUCUUGAGGGUUUGGCACGACAUCUAUUUGGUGGGGUGGAAAUGCGCUGGGUUGACACUUACUUCCCCUUUACUAAUCCAUCAUUUGAACUGGAGAUAUAUUUUCAGGAUCAAUGGAUGGAAGUUUUGGGUUGUGGAGUGACAGAACAAGAAAUAUUGAAAAGAAGCGGUAAAACAGACAAUGUUGCUUGGGCAUUUGGGCUUGGAUUGGAGCGCUUGGCUAUGGUUUUAUUUGAUAUUCCAGAUAUUCGACUGUUCUGGUCAACUGAUGAGCGGUUCACUUCUCAAUUUUCUAGCGGCCGGCUCGGGUUGAAGUUUAAGCCAUUUUCCAAGUAUCCACCUUGUUAUAAAGAUAUGAGUUUCUGGAUCAGUGAUUCAUUUACCGAGAACAAUCUCUGUGAAGUUGUUAGAGGAAUUGCUGGAGACCUUGCCGAGGAGGUGAAACUGAUAGACAACUUCACCAAUAAGAAAGGAAUGACAAGUCAUUGCUAUCGGAUAGCUUAUCGGUCCAUGGAACGUUCACUUACAGACGAGGAAAUAAACGAUCUGCAGUGGAAAGUGAGAGAACAGGUGGAGAACAAGUUAAAGGUUGUCCUAAGAUGAGCUAUUUUCAUUUGUUUGUUUUUUUCUGAUUUUGUAGUUUACAACAUGUAGUUUUUACCUGAAUUUUGUUUUACAUUUAUAUGUCACUUUUUUUUGCACCAUCUUGAUUGUAAUAAUAGAAUAUGCUUAUUUGCUGUCAUUUGGAG
rnacentral:misc_RNA from 1 species